AUUGAACGCUGGCGGCAUGCCUUACACAUGCAAGUCGAACGGUAACGCGGGGCAACCUGGCGACGAGUGGCGAACGGGUGAGUAAUAUAUCGGAACGUGCCCAGUAGUGGGGGAUAGCCCGGCGAAAGCCGGAUUAAUACCGCAUACGACCUAAGGGUGAAAGCGGGGGAUCGCAAGACCUCGCGCUAUUGGAGCGGCCGAUAUCAGAUUAGGUAGUUGGUGGGGUAAAGGCCUACCAAGCCGACGAUCUGUAGCUGGUCUGAGAGGACGACCAGCCACACUGGGACUGAGACACGGCCCAGACUCCUACGGGAGGCAGCAGUGGGGAAUUUUGGACAAUGGGCGCAAGCCUGAUCCAGCCAUGCCGCGUGCGGGAAGAAGGCCUUCGGGUUGUAAACCGCUUUGUCAGGGAAGAAAUACUUCUGGGUUAAUACCUCGGGAGGAGUGACGGUACCUGAAGAAUAAGCACCGGCUAACUACGUGCCAGCAGCCGCGGUAA
rnacentral:rRNA from 1 species